rnacentral:rRNA from 1 species
UACCGUCUUUGACCUCGG